GAACCCAUAUCCUGUUCCAACCCUUUGGGACUAGAAACUGCCUUGUUUUUGGCAGUCCCCACCUCAGUGCCAGGACUGGAAUCUGGGGAGUCAGGAGGCGGCAAGCUGCUGGUGCGGCCCAGCUAGGACUUCUGAGAAUCACCCGAGCCCGAGAACUGGUUUCAACUAGCACCUCCAAAGUGGCAGAGGCCUAAGGAUAUAAAGGUCAUUUUCAAAUUAGAUUGACCAGGGCCCAAGGCUGGUCAAGGAAGGAGGAAGAAGAAAAAGGGUGAGAGUCAAGAGGGAAGCUGAGUCCCCAGAAGGAUGGCCCCUCACCACAGCCGUGGAGGGAGAAACCCAGGCCCCCGUGGGCUCUGAAUCCUCCAGGCCUGGCAUAGAGCCAGGCACAGAUGGGUGCAGAGUCUCUGCUGGAUGGAUGAAUGAAUGAACAAGUUGGUUCUUCCCUCUCCGGAUCCGAGUGUGUUUUCCGGAGCCACCCUCCUUCCUGAUACACGAAGCCGGGAGAGGAAGUGACUAGGCAGCCAAGUCCAGAGAGGAAACAUGAGUCCCUGUGAGAUCUGUCCAGGAACAGGAGACUAAGAGAGGACAGAACAGGCACCCAGAUUCCGAAGCAGCACCCCAGCUCCUGCUGUCUCCCUAACAAAAGCUUGGGUACCACAGGCUUAGCCAAGCCCUUGACUAUUUUCAUCUUGUUUAAUCCUCCCAAAGACCUAUUAUUUUCUCCACUUUACAGAUGAGAAUAUAGAGGCAGGAGGUCAGGAAACCUGACAAGGAUCCCACAGUUUAUCAAAGUAACCAAGCUGGAUCUUUUUCUUUUUUCCUUUUUCCUGCAGUGGUGCUGUUUCAUCUUUAAAAUGCCAGCAAUUUGCCCACAUGCUCAGCUCUGCUACAAUGUGUUAUUUUCAGAUCUAGCAAUGAACUACAGAAUGGUAGAAGUGGAAGAGCCUUUGAGAUGAAUUAGUCCGGGCCAGAGUUGGGGAGACAGGGGGAGGGAGGCUGAGCAUACAGGCUGCAAAUCCUCCCCUCCCUCUUCUUCCUUCUGCUCCUAAAAUAAAACUGAACAAAAGACUGGAAAGUUACUGGAUCAGAGAAUUCAGCAUCUCCCUCCUAACUCCCUGGGAUUUUAUUAUUCAAGAUAGCAAGCAGGAUCUACAUCCUGGAGCAAGAAGAAGCUAAGAUCUCCCUGCCGGUGGGUGUGAUUUUGAAAGUGCGAAAAGGCAGGAGCUUCUGGGCCCCUCCCUCCAGCAGAGAUCUGUCCUCCUCGAGCCCUGUCUGGGAUGCUGGGAGGCUGCAAAGGGCAAAUGCAGGGCCUGAGGCCUUCCCACAGUCGGCUCCCCAGGAAGACAACCCUGUCCUUCAGCAAGCCCUCACCUCCCAUCUGCGUCCCUAAUUGGCAUCUUCUGGUGACUUCAUUUUUCACUCUUGGCUAAAAUGGGCCUCUGAUGAUUUAUUCUAUCCCGGGUGUUGACAAGCUCAAGAAGUUGUGUGGGGCCCACUGCCAGGCACUCAUGGUGACAAAGCAUGACUCACCGCUCCCAGGUCAGUUGGGGGGGUGUGGUGGUGUAGGAGGCAGGAGAAGCAGCUGACAAGGCUCACCACUGCAUCACUGGGCCUUCUGCCCUCUUGUGAGGCAGCUCCACUCUCGGAUGGGGAAAUAGACACCCCAGAACCCUCUGACGGAGACAGGACAGGCAGCCCACAGGUCUGUCACAUCUCAAGGCUGCUUCUCUGUUUUGUCUCCCACCCCCAGUGCCAAAUGCUAAACUGUCUUUCAGAGAGAGCUCUAAAAGGGAAAUAUAAGCCAGCCCUCCUUGAAUCCCCUCAAUCAUAGAACGUUAGCAGUGGGGAGGGGGGAGACAAAGAAAGCCUUAGAGAUCAUUAAACUCAAUCUUCUUAUUUUGUGAGAAAGAAUUUGAGGUCCAGAGAGGCCAAGUCAUUUGACCAAGGCCCCAAAGUGAGUUAGAAGUGGAGCUGGGACUAGAACUUAGGUGUUUGUUCCAGACUUGUGCUCUCUUGCCAACCAAGAUAUGACGAGAAUUUCACUAGCACUCCUGAGGGAGAGGAGGCCAACUCUCCCCCAGAAAAAGGGGCAAGAAGCACUAAUGCCUAAGGCGAGAUGAGUGGGCUGGACUUUGGCUUUGCCCUUUGUUCUUCUCAGAUGGAGCUCUGUGCUUUCCUGGCUUAUGGGGAACCCCAGAGUCCAGGGGGCUCCAGGCUGAGCAUUCCCUCUCCCAGGAACGAUACUUCACUCACAGGAACGUGCCAAUGGCAGAUGACCCGCAGACUCUUUCUUGGCUUAGCCAACAGCAAGUUGCCCUUAGAAGAGCCCGUUGCAUCUGGCUGCUAAGUGACCUUAUUUCUCUUUUUCUCUUUCCUGACCUUCUGGGUAAACAGCGUGUUAGCUCAGGGGAGACUUAAAUUCAUGAACCCAGUAAAUGAAAAGGGGCCACAAAGUUCCUCUGGUCUGUACGUGCUCCACGGGACCCCCUCCACGAUACCCCAGAUGGACACUACCUUCAGCUUGAACACUUCCCAGGAUGAGCCACUGUUUCUCCCUCACUCCCGGCCCCUCUGCUGCUGGACAGACCGAAGAGAUAGAGACGGCUAUCUAGUCCUGACUGGAGUCAGCCACCCUGUGAUGCCCCCUGCGCUGAAACAGAGCGAGUGACUACCCUUCUCUGGACUAUGGCCUGUGUCUUCGCUCAUGACUUAUAGGGACAAGCCCAGACAGACAUAACCGUUCUUGAUCUUACAAAGAUUGAGCAUCUGUUUGGGGGUCUAGUCCAAUAGGGCUCUUGCUCAAUUUUCUUUUCCCAUCUGAUUUCCAUGAAUAAAGAAAGAAAGAAAGAAAGAAAGAAAGAAAGAAAAGAAAGAAAGAAAGAAAGAAAGAAAGAAAGAAAGAAAGAAAGAAAGAAAGAAAGAAAAAAGAAAGCUUGCCCACCACCCCUAGAGAAAGAAUAAGAAAAAAGGAUAAGUGCCAGACCUGUUCAUUUGCUUCUUGCUAGAGAUUCUGGUGAAAGUUCUGACUGAGGAGGCAGUUGGACCCACCCAAGGCGAGGUGCAGGGCAUCUGUGCUCGACAAUUAACCUCUUUUUUCCCCUUCCCCUUGUGGUUGAAGACGACCAGCAUAUUCAUGAAAAGUAGUAUUGUUGUUCUAAAUUCCUUAUUUGACAUUUCAUUCAUUUUGGAAGCCACGUGCGAGUUUCAUCCAGUCAAAAAAAAAAAAAAAUCAAUUACUAUAUGCCAGGCAGGGUUCCAGGCGAUGUACUGUGAGUGAAACAAAGCUCCUGACCCUGUGAAGCUUCCUAUUCCAGAAGACAAGGCAGAAAGAAAGUAAUAGUUAGACAUUAUAACAUAAUAAGCAUUAUAACAGGAGCUGCCGGGCACUACAAAGGAAGACAAAGCAACAUGAGGGGUGAGAGGUGAUGCAGCUGUCAUUUGGGGUGAGGAGGGUGAGGGCAGGCCUGGGAGGGGAUGUUAGAGCAGAUGCUAGAGUAGAGUAAGGGACCCCUCCAGGCGGAUAUCUGGGGCAAGUGUUCUAAGAUGAAAGAACUGUACGAACCACAAGAAACCCCUGAUCAAUGUGCACGUGGGAUCUACUAGAAUGCAUUUCAACUAACGUUUCAUAGAUGAAAAUAAUGGCCAAGGCACAUUUUGCCAAAAGCUGAAAAAUUCAACAUGACAUUACCUGCACUUAGAGGCCAUUAGCAUUCAUAACCCGAUUUCCGGGGUGGGGGGACCAUCCGUAUAUGAAUGAGGUGAUCAAACACUCUUCUCUCCUUGGAAAGCUCCCUCAUAUACCAUCUUUUUAAAUAAUCACCACAAGCCCACAAGGUAGAUCUUACAGUUCACAACAGUGUGAAAACUAAUGGGAAAACUGAGGCUGUGAGUAGUGACUCUGGUCCUGACCUAGGCCACCGGUAUGCAGAAGUGCCCCAUUUCUAAAGGAAGUUGUCCUGUUUCACUGGAACAUGUAAUACAGAGAAAAGUCCAAGAACAUCAGGGCUUGUAAAUUUAACUUCAAAUCAGCACCAUAACUGAUAUCGGAGACCAGUAUCUCUGUGGUAGUGUGACAUGCACCUCUCAGCUCUCCUUCCAGAGGACCUGCCAGGGGGAGCAGAUUCCUGACUGCCCCAGUGAGUGCCCUGUGGACGUGGGGGGGUCAGGGCCACCCCUCCUCCGGGCUGCUCCCAGGCAACCUUUGAGCUCUGGGACUGCUGCCCGCCUGCCUGAGACCCUGUCAGAAACGUACCGCAGACUGAGAAUCUACCUAAUUCUUCCUUUCCUCUUCCCUCUCACGCUGCCAGACCGGCAUUAACGGGCUGAAGGCCCUCCCUGCCAUCUCCCGAGAACCCCCUUUCCUCCCUCACAGACAUUUCUCCCAGCAAACCUACUGUGUGUCCAAUCUCAUCACUUGGCAUCUGUGUCCCAGAGGAUCCACACUGACAUUUCUAAUCUCAAUAGCUCUGUUUUACUUCUUCACAGAAGGACGACAUUAUGAGUUCAUUUCUAUCUUUGUCUUUCCUGGACGUGAAAAAACAGAAAAGAAAAGAAAAAAAGUAUUUUGUCGGUUACCAGUGUCAGACUUUGGGCCUCAUUAGUGGUCCAUUUUAACAAAAAUGUAAAGGGAAAUUCUGGAAUGUUACUAGUGUUACCUGGGGUGAGGUUUUGGCCUGAGUUCUGCCAACAGCCUUUUAUCUUAGCAGCUUCUGAUCUGCUUUCACAGGUCCUGUCGAAGAUGAGCGCCUCAUGCUUUGUGUCCAGGCUAUGAACUCCAGCUUAGAGCUAAUCAGAGCUGACAAUGCCUAUUGCAGAGUAUCGAGGUGGUUACAGGAGGUCGCUUGGGGUGCCCUGAACCAGCACUGUCCAAGAGAAAUAGAAUGUGAGCCACCUACAUAAUUUCAAAUCUUCUAGGAGCCACAUUUGAAAAGGAAAAAGAAACAAGUAAAAUGAAUUUUAAUAAUAUGUUUUGUUUAACCCAAAGGCAUCUAAAUUAUUAUCAUAACACGUUAUCCUAUUUAAACGUUAUUGAUGAGAUAAUUUACAUUUUUGUCACAUUAUUUUUUUUUUAAGUCAGCUCCACACCUAGGAGCCCAACACAGGGCUUGAACUCACGACCCCGAGAUCAAGACCUGAGCUGAGAUCAAGAGUCGGAGGCUUAACUGACAGAGUCACCCAGGUGCCCCUCACACUAAGUCUUUAGAUGAGGCAUGUCGCAAGUGCUCCCUAAACAUAUAUGGCUGGCGGCUCCCGUGCUGGACAGUGCAGAUCUAGGCACCUCCGAGUCUGAGGAUUAAUAUUUGAAUAUGGAGCAGCUGAUCAGCUGUUUCUCUUAAUGUUCCUCUAAACCAGUUAUGGGUCCCCACCCCACUGAGGAAUUUCAAAAUCAUCACCCAAGGGGAUUUUUAUUCAGAACUUUUGUUUGUUUGCUAAGAAAUAGAAAGUAUUCGUUUUGAAAUAAAAUAUAAAAUAAGAGGGAUUGCGUUCUUGGUAUUUAUAAGAUACCAGCUUCCACAAUCAUUUUGGAUGAAUCUUUGUAGCUGGAGCAUCCAGGGUACAAACAUAAGAAAGAGGCUAUUUCCUUCUCCCAAACAUGUUUGAGUCUAGCAGCCUUCACAGUUCCCAUUACAGGACUGAUUUCUUUGGCCCCAUCCCCGGAGUAGUCCUCUCCCGCCAGCCCCCCAGCAACGUGCGCCCCCAGUGGAGAACAUCAAUCAUGUCCUUUACUACUACAAGAAAACACGAUACCCCAAUUUUUAAAAACCGGAAUCAUACAUUUAAAAGCUAUGCCACACGAGGCAAGUAUUUACCUAGGCACUCACUCAUUUUUCAACUUUAUAUUUUUCUCUCCAUUUUACAGUUUCAGAAAGCUGAGUAACUUGCCCAAUGCCACAUCGCGAAUCAUUCUACAACCCUUUAAAAGUUGGCAUUGGGAGUUGACGGCAUUGUAAAUUGGUUCAAUCUUUUCUGAGAUUAACUUGACAAUGUUUAGCAAGUUAUAAAAUGGUCCGUGCCCUUUUAUACAAUGAUAUUGGGAUGAGUUCUAAGGUAAUAAAUAAAAUAUGUAUGGACACACUCACACAUUAGCUUGUGCAAAGAUAUUUACGACAUAAAACCUAUGAUAGCUGAAAAAAUUUUAAAUACCCCAAAUUUUUCAUUUAUUUAGCAAACAUUUAUUGAAUACCUUCCAUGUGUCAGGCACAGGUCUAAUACCAAGGAUUCAGCAGUGGAGAAAAAAAACAAAAGGACGACAAUGAAUCCCUGUUUUCAUGGAGAAGUUUCAUAAACAAAGAUCCUAGGGGUAAAAAUAAGAAUGGAUAAUAAGGGCCACAUACAUAAUUUUUAAGUUGUCUAGUAGCCACAUUAAAAAGGGAAAAAGAAACAAGAGAAAUUAUUCUUAAUAAUAUAUUUUAUUUAACUCAAUAUAUCCAAAAUAUUAUUCUAACAUGUAAUCAACACAAGAAACUAAUUAAGAUAUUUUGUAUUUUUUUCAUACUGUCUUCAAAAUCCAGUGUGCAUUUUACUCCUAUAGCACAUCUCAAUUUCAACAGCAAAGUUUCUUCAGAAAUAUUAGAUCUGUAUUUAGGUGUCAUAAAAUUCACCAUUAAAAAAUUAGAUUCAGGGGCACCUGGGUGACUCAGUUGGUUAAGCAGCUGCCUUCGGCUUGGGUCAUGAUCCCUGGGUCCUGGGAUCGAGCCCCACGUCCGGCUCCCUGCUCAGUGGAGAGCCUGCUUCUCCCUCUCUCUCUGCCUGCUGCUCUGCCUGCUUGUGCUUUCUCUCUCUGUGUCAAAUAAAUAAAUAAAAUCUUCAAAAAAAAAUUAGAUUCAUCCAACCAAACAUACUUAAAGAUAUCCCAAUAAUUCAGGUGAAUAUCCAAAAUAAUUCUUUUAAUAUUUGCAUACACAUUGACCAAACAGUUCAUUUUUUAGAAUUGAUUUCUAAAUCCCAGGACCCAGGGAUCAGUUUCAAAACAAUUUCUGUCCAAGUAAAGUAAACUCACUCACUCUUGGGUUAGCUCAGUCUUACUAACACAAAUUCAAAAGGAUAUUACAUAAAAUGAAAAGCAACUCUAAAUUUAUCAAAACCAACGAAGGGUCCUUCAAGUUUUUCUUAUAAUAUUUUCAGCCAAUUUGUAUAACACUGUUGAUUACAACUGAAAUUUUCUGCAAUUGAUUCAUAUUAGGAAAAAACGUAUAAAAUUGUUAUCAUUGAUUUGGAUUAUGAAAAGUUUCGAUUUCAACACAAGUUCUUGUGCUUAUCUUGUUAGGUCAUGAGCUUUUACUUUACUUGGAACUUCAAAUUUACCUUGUCCACAUGCAGUGUAGUAUCAGUGAGAAAACAUAAAUCACACUGCCAUUUUGUCUUUAAUUAUUGGCCACUUGGCAACUAUUCCUUUUGUUUCAAGAAAAAAAUUGGACUUGCUAGCAUAGUAAAUCUUUGUAAAAUGUUUCCACAAUUCAAAUAAUGAGUAUUGGCAAACAGCAUUAAAUACAUUAAAUCCAUUGUCUUCUAUUUUUUUCAAAAGUUCCGUAAACUUGGGAUGAUUCAUAGUAUUUCCACAUGUAUACUGAACCAUCUUAACAAUUUCGUCCACGACACCUUUCUGAGUGUCUCCUCUAGAAAACUGCAUUCAAAUAUUGUCAGUAUGUGACACAUAGAGGGAUGAAGCAAUAAGAAAAACAUCCAUGUCUUAUUUCAAAAUUCCAACAAACCUGGAUAUUUAAAGUGAUUAUAGCUGGAUCACGGUACAUCAUGAUAGAAAGGAAUUUCUUCACAUCUACCUGAAGUUCUUGGAUAAAUAUAAAAUAUUCAAAAAUAUUCAUACCUUGAACUCAGAUUUUUAGACCACACAUUGAUAUUUCUUUGUAAAUGUGCGAGUCCUUUGAGAAAAAAAAAAAAAAUCUAAAUGUUACUGUUCUAGUCAUAGUACUAGCUUCUGCAUCUCCAUGUGGUUCUUUGUCUUAAAUUAAAAUGUUUGUCCAUACUUAUUUUUUAACUAGAAAAAUAAUUAUACUACAAUUAAAAUAAAUGCAGGGGCACCUGGGUGGCUCAGUUAAGCGUCUAACUCUUGAUUUCAGCUCAGGUCAUGAUCUCAGGGUUGUGGGAUCAAGCCCCAAGUUGCGGGUGGGUCCCUGCUCAGCAGGAAGUCUGCUUGAAAUUCUCUCUCUCUCCCUCCCCCCUCCCCUCCCCGGCUCUCUCUCUCUCACAAAUAAAUAAAUCUUUAAAAAAUAAUAAAAGCAAUAACAUUAAAAUUUUAAUAAAUGUUAUUACUAAUUAUAAUUUACAUAGGUAUCACUAUAACUCAUGUUGCCCACAGGAAAUACUCAAAUAAACACAAUACAAGUUGGGGGCGCCUGGGUGGCUCAGUCGUUAGGCGUCUGCCUUCGGCUCAGGUCAUGAUCCCAGGAUCCUGGGAUCGAGCCCCACAUCGGGCUCCUUGCUCGGUGGGAAGCCUGCUUCUCUGUCUCCCACUCCCCCUGCUUGUGUUCCCUCUUUCGUUGUGUCUCUCUCUGUCAAAUAAAUAAAUUAAAAAAAAAAUUAAAAAACACAAUACAAGUUAUACCAGAUACAAAGAAAAGCAUCACUCAAACUGAUUCAAUCACCUGACACCAACUAGAUGGGUGAGGUACGUAUGGGUAGACUACAGUAAGUUCUUACACAAUGGAAUGAAAUGUCCUGCUAUAACAGCAAAUGUGAUGUGUAACAGAAAUAUAUUUUAUUCUGCUGAAACUUCUAAAUUAAAUUAGAUGAAUUUAAAUUCGAAUAAUAAUUCCAUUCCUCAGUCACUCCAUGCACACUUCAAGGGCCGGGUAGCAACCAGUGACUGGUAUUGGACAGCGAAGCCCUAGCGGAAGAUGGGGAGAGGGUCCAGAUCACUGGACUUCAGAGCCACCUCGUGUUGCCUUGAGGGUCCCGGAGUCCGGAAGGGGUGGAAAGAAAGCACUGAGGGGUGGGACAUCUGCUUUCCUUAUUGAAUCGUCACAUUAAGGUUUGGUGGGAAAAAGGUGUCCCAGUGUUUUUGUUUAAGGCUUUGAAACCAUUGGUCCUCUUCUUCCUUGCUUCUCAAAGUGGUGAAUCUGGCAGUGGCUUCCCCUGGGAACUGGUAGGAAAUACAUGUUCUCAGGCCCCGCUCCGGGUGAUUCAUGGCAGUGUAAGAAACAGUGGGCUUGUCGGCCCCGUGAUCUCCUUUCCCUAUGAAUCACACACACACACACACACACACACACACAGUGUUUCAAUGAGGAGUUAACCCAUCACGAAACCAGAGCCAAACUGUAGCAUUUUAGAAACAAUUACACGGCAGGGAAUCUAGCCCUAGCAUCUCCUUUCCGCAGCGGCGACCUGUGUGGAGCUCCCGGAUCCUGAGUGACUGCCCCAGCACGUCCCUCCCGCGCUGCCAUUGCCAUCCCUGCUGGAGCCCCCAGGAGCAGUGUUACUGUAGAAGACUGCACGGACAGGGUGGAGGAGCCAUUCAAGUGGUCAUUUUGUGGUGGACACUAUGAUAUGGCCCCAGAUGAGAACAGAAGCCGGAAGUGAUGUCCACUCCCAAUUUCUUGGUUGAAGUUCUAAAGAUGAUGGCAGGAAGGACCCUUGUGCUGGACUGUCACCAUUUGGAGGAUGAGGCUGGACAAGAGGAGGAGGACAAGAGUGACAUUUUCUCCAUCAGGGAAAUGAGCUUUGAGUCCCCCAGAGAGUCAGAGUGGAAGAACAUGAAUUACACACUCAACACAGAUUUCCUGCACUGGGCUUUGUGCGACCACUUAAUGGACACUUUUUCAGAUGAGCUCAGUAUGGCCCUGGAUCACCAAGAGUACAUAGCUUUUCUCAAAGACCGCAAAGGUCUUGUCAAGAGCCAAUAGAGGGGUGCCUGGGUGGCUCAGUCGUUAAGCAUCUGCCUUCAGCUCAGGUCAUGAUCCUAGGGUCCUGGGGUCGAGCCCCGCAUUGGGCUCCCUGCUCCGCAGGAAGCCUGUUUCUCCCUCUCCCAUUCCCCCUGCUUGUGUUCCCUCUCUUGCUCUCUCUCUCUCUCUCUGUCAAAAAAUAAAUAAAUAAAUCUUUAAAAAAAAGAAAGAAAGAAAGAAAGAAAGCCAAUAGAGCAGACAAGAUACUGAAUACCUUGAUUUUAUGGCAGGCUUUGGCCAGUGAACCAAACCUACUCUGAACCCAGACACAUGGACUUUGAAAUGGUUUUCAUCCUCAUAUCAGAGAAAAUAAUUCAAAUUGAUUUCUGUUGCCUUCUUAUUUACUAUUCCUUUGUUUCUUCUCUACAAAUCCAUUAUUUUUGGAUUUUUGUAUAACAUCGUGAUGGACAAUAACAUUGGUUUAUCUCCCCCGCCAUCAUCCUUCUUCCCCUUCCAAAAAGAGUAAGGAAUGAAGGACUUCUUCCCUCAGCUGCCGGGAGCAGCUUAGAGGACAGUCCUCAGUGGUCAGCAGCCCAGGAAUUGCCUCAGCUGAAUGAAGAGUCACUUCCCCAAGGUCAUGUUGCAUUCCUGAUGGAUACAGGGAUAGAGAUACCCAGCUCUCUUGUCUCAACUCGGGACAGUUCUGAAGGAUCCUCAACCUUGAGAACUGCCCACAGGGCCACUAUUGCAGCUUCUCUUGACAUUCCAUCACAGCUGGGCUUCCCCUCUGCCGAAUCCGCUCCCUUCCCAAGGACAUCCCUGGUAAACUUCUCAUGUUCCCAGCUCUUUGAGUUUGCCUCCCGGGGAACCCAGAGAUGAGCUGUCCAUUUCGAAAGAAAGGGAGUCACACACAGUAUUCAUUCAAAGUUCCUAACUUAGAGAAUUCAUGACAUAAGGUUCUUUUGAUUUUGGCUAAUGUCCCUAUUUGACACCUCCCACAGAUGAAGAACCCACCCAUCAAUACCUCUAUAUUUAUAGAGAGGUACGUAUGUUUAUGAGAAGAUAAUUAUACCUUCCCAGGGAUGGUGUUGCUCAUCAUUACUAUAAAAGAAAGUUGAAAGAAGAAGACAAUUCACCAGAACUCUUUUUAGUUUUUGUCAGUCAUUAAGUGAAAAACUGGGUAUCACUUUGUUCUUUUAAUUGGCAGUGCCCCAACCUGUGAGGUUGAGAAUGUUUGCAGGUGUUCAUUAGCCAGGUAAAUUUCUCUCCUGUGAAUUGUCUAUUCAUAUACUUUUGCCCAUUUUUCUUUUGGCUUCGCCUGUCUUUUUCAUAAUAACUGGUAAUAGACUGUUGGACAUAUGUUGCUUUCUUGGCUUUCUUUAAUGGUGACUUUAUCACUUUUUAAGAUAACACUUUAUGUGUUGGUUUUGCAAGGGUUAUUUUCAUUUUGGUUUUAAAAAUCCAUAUAUGCAGAAGCAUAUAAGGCAGAAAAUAAUUGUCUUAGUCCAUUCAUGCAGCUGUAACAAAAAUACCAUAGGAUGGGUGGCUUAUAAACCACAGAAAUGUGUUUCUCACGGUUCUAGAGGCUGGGAAAUCCAAGAUCAAGGCACCCACAGAUUCAGUGUCUGAUGAGGGCCUGCUUUUCCUGGUUCCUAGAUAACUAUCUUUUUGCUGUGUUGUCACAUGGCCAAAGAGGCAAGGGAUAUUUCUGGGUUCCCUUUCAUAAGGGCACUAGUCCCAUUCAUAAGAGCUUCACCCUCAUGACCUAAGUACCUCCCAAAUGCCCCAUAUCCAAAUACCAUCACACUGGGGAUUAGGAUCCAAUAUGUGAAACUGGCAGGCGGGGUGGGGAGGGCACAGACAUUCAGUUUAUAGCAGUGGUAAUCACUUAAAAUUUCUCCACUUAGAGAAAUUACUUCAAAAUUUUUCAUUUUUUCUUGUAAUUUUUCCAUGCCCAGUUUUCCAAAUUGAGAUAAUGUGUUAAACUUCCUAUGUAGCUUUGAAUUCUUGUUUUUUUAUAUAGUAUUUAAGCAUUUCCCCAGAUCAUCAAAAGCCUUUAUAAGCAUCAUUUAAAUGGGUGCCUAAUAGUUUAUCAAAUAGAUGAACCAUUAUUUGGUGUAAUCCCUUCAGAAAUGUUAGACGUGUGGAUCAUUUCCAAUUUCUCACUACAAAUAAUACUGUGAUGAGCCUAGGCAGAAAUAUCUGUUUGUGUUUCACAUUGUCUCUUUAAAUACAUUCUCUAGAUUGCAAGUGAGUUAAAAGUAAAAGCAUGUAAGGGCUCUUAUUAUGUAUCUCAGUUCGUUUUUUGUGGAGCCAUUUGCAAACCAAUGUUUUACUCUGAAGAGAAAUACUGCAAUGAAAAUACCACAUCCAACCUUAGCCCAAGCACUGGAGGGAGGCCCCAGCCUUCAAUCGCAUUCAAUCAAGCAAACAUGUGUUACACCUGCUGCUUACAGGAGACUAUUUUAGGCCCUAGAGGGAUGCCAAUACGUUGAGCAGGAUCCUGCCUGCCAUCAAAGAGCAAAGGGUCCAGGAGAAAAAUGAGCGGUAACUGAUUAACCAUAACACAAGAAAGGGUGAAACAAAUCUUCAACGACAUGGUAAGUCAGCGUGUGUGGGGUACGCAGUGAAACAAUGCAGCCGGAAAGAUAAGCUGUUAUAUGAUGGUCUCAUAAAUACCCCAGAGGGCACUGGGACCUUCGCAGAUUCAAUACUGGAAGUACACGAAUGUCCAGUCUAGGAUUUGGAAUGUGGAUUCAGGAUUUUACAUGACAGAGUUAAUGAUUUUUACAGCUUUGCUUUUAUGAUCUGCUAGUGGUCAACUCUAUGGCUUUCUUGAUACCAGGGGUCCCCAGCGUGCAGCCUCCACCUUCUUCCUAUAGAGUUGCAUCCUCCAGAAUCCCACUCUGCACCAUGGACUUAAAGACAGCAAUGUGUCCUCAAGGCCAAAACCACUUGUAUUCCUUGAAGUUUCAGUCUUUGUGCUGCUCAGCCCCAGGGGGCUCUGGUGGGUGGAGAGAGAGCUGCUGGCUUCCAGCAGAGCAUGCUUCCUCCCCUGCUCUGAAGCCAACAGGACCCCACACACCACCCCUGAAUCACUUAAGAGCAGUAUGAUGGAUGGCCAUGGAGUCAAAGUUCUGAACCUGACCUUUGCUUUCCCCACUUAGCAGCCCUCCAACCUGGGCAACCUAAUUAAACCCCUCACCUUUCUUUCCUCAACCAUAAAACAGAGCUGAGAGUGGUCCUGAAAAGACAGAAAGAUAAUGGAUAUGAAAGCACUUAAAAAGAAGAAAUUGUCUUUGAAAUCAGCAUUUAUUAUGUUGUGGAAAAUCUAAACAAAAGAUUUUCUAGUCCUUCCUCUCUGAACAAACUUUGACUUCCAUGGGGGUGGGGCCCCAGGGUGGUAGUGCAUUGAUGUAUUCUUCGUUAAUUUUUAAAAAGCAUGCCUUAAAGCGAUGUGACAGAAGAGCGCUUCCACUGGCUUUGCUGCGUGAGCGAGGCCGACUUCGGCUAGCUAACGCAUUCUUGUGUGUGCCUAGAUUUUUGAAAGUGAAGAGGGGAUUCCUGUAGAAGGCUAGGUGAGGAAGUUUCCUUAGGGUUUACAAGCUGAUUCCAGGCGCUGCCCCAUAACCAUGCAGACCUUGAGCCCUCGGGAUUUACCUUCCACUUCAUCUUGCACAAAGGGGGCGCUUGGGAAGCGGACUCUAACAUGACGAGGGAGAUUUAGCCAGGCUCCCGGAUAAGUGAAGCUCAAAGGAUAUUCUAGCAGGGAUUUUCAGAGAAGCACCUCCACUUUGUGAGCUUACGAGAAAACCUGCAGAAUUGCUGUUUAUUCCACUUUUGUUGAAUGGAAAACAUAUAUGGCUCCCUAAAGAGCCUACCGACGAGGUGAAGGAAGCCAUUACCUGGAGUGAUGUAGUUAGACACACGGGGAGGCCAACUCAAAGGGGCUACACCUUUGUUCAGAGAUGCUCAGGGGGAGAUGGAAGUGACUGGACCACGCUCCCCAAUAUAUCUACCCACCCCCUCACCAGCCAGCCAUGUAACAGCCCCUGGAGAGCGGGAUUGAGGCAUCCCUCCCCACUCACACCCCACUUUCCAUCCUCACUGGCACCCCCACAGGGAUAGACAGUCCCUGUGCCAGGCUCACAAGGGGAGUUGCUUCCUUUGCUGGCCACCCUUCUGCUUUCCCUGCCUACCUUCAAGGACCCUCCCCUGCCCCCCAGCAACGUGGCAUGGCACCUGCCUCUCCAGGGGAAGGCCAGCCCCUCACACCUGAUGUCUCCCCAUGGCCCCUCCCCAGCCACCUGGCGGGGUCACCCCCAGCUUUGCUCUCCUUCAGGCUUCCAUCUCAUCACGGUUCCCUAAGGGUCCUCUUUCUACCCUCUGCUCUGAGAUCCCCACGCCUGCCCGUGCUUGAAAGAGGGUCCAGAAAAUUCCC